rnacentral:rRNA from 1 species
GUACACUCCUGCGGGAGGCAGCAGUGGGGAAUAUUGCACAAUGGGCGCAAGCCUGAUGCAGCCAUGCCGCGUGUAUGAAGAAGGCCUUCGGGUUGUAAAGUACUUUCAGCGGGGAGGAAGGCGAUAAGGUUAAUAACCUUGUCGAUUGACGUUACCCGCAGAAGAAGCACCGGCUAACUCCGUGCCAGCAGCCGCGGUAAUACGGAGGGUGCAAGCGUUAAUCGGAAUUACUGGGCGUAAAGCGCACGCAGGCGGUCUGUCAAGUCGGAUGUGAAAUCCCCGGGCUCAACCUGGGAACUGCAUUCGAAACUGGCAGGCUAGAGUCUUGUAGAGGGGAGUAGAAUUCCAGGUGUAGCGGUGAAAUGCGUAGAGAUCUGGAGGAAUACCGGUGGCGAAGGCGGCCCCCUGGACAAAGACUGACGCUCAGGUGCGAAAGCGUGGGGAGCAAACAGGAUUAGAUACCCGUGUAGUCCCAUGA